UACGGGGGGGGCAAGCGUUGUUCGGAAUUACUGGGCGUAAAGGGCUCGUAGGCGGCCAACUAAGUCACACGUGAAAUCCCUCGGCUCAACCGGGGAACUGCGUGUGAGACUGGAUGGCUUGAGUUUGGGAGAGGAAUGCGGAAUUCCAGGUGUAGCGGUGAAAUGCGUAGAUAUCUGGAGGAACACCGGUGGCGAAGGCGGCUACCUGGACAGAAACUGACGCUGAGGCGCGAAAGCUAGGGGAGCAAACAGG
rnacentral:rRNA from 1 species